CAGCCAAGAUUGGGAACCACUCAUCUGGGCGCUACAAAAUGGCAGCCUAGAUCAGGAAGGUAGCAGUGAGGCUGAAGAGGAGAGAGAGGUUAGAGGCAGGAUGAACAGCAUUUGUGAGAGGGGAGGAGAGAAGCCUUCCUCCUUCAUUACUGCUUUGGUCCUCCGAGUAGGCAGUGCAGUUCAUUCAUUCACAGAGAGGACUUUAACCGGAGGAUUAGCUGCAACCUGCGGGACAGCGCCGUCCCUUUCCCAGCUGUUUCCCAACAGAUUUCUCCAAACCUCACCAGCUCUUCUCCCAUCUGCCCUCAACCAGCCUGCUGGGAGUCUCCACGGACCAGUGAUACCUGUGUUGGGAGAAGCCGCAGGAAUUGUCUCAGCCAGAUGCUCCGUGAGCUUGGAGCUCCACCCACUUCUAAUCUAGGCUGAUGUAAUCGAGCCCUAAUUCAUCGUCUUCUCAGCUGUGGAAUGGUAGUGAUGCUGUUAGCCAAUGGGCUGGCGCAGACAAAGAUGAGCAAUAGGGCUGUGAUCAUCACGUGUCUGCUCAUUCCUGUCAUUACCACACCAAUGACAGCCAGUGCUGUGACCGAUAAUAUUAAGGGCAUGGGGGUUUUAUUAUGGCCAGUGCUAAUUAGUUUCAGUGGAAGAAAACCCUCCAUCUUGUGGACACAGAUGCACUUCUGAUGCCGUAGAUGUUCCCUGGUCCAAAGGAGAUCAGGCCCCGCCUCAGUAGAGAGGGGGCCUGGUUGGCGGGACCUAUCCUGAUACCAGAAAAACAUCCUUGAGAGUGUGUUCUUUUAAUGUUGAUCUUUUCCCCUAGUCUGGCUGAUAUUGGGUUGGCCAAAAGAAGUGGUUUGGGUUUUUCUAUGCCAUCUUAUGGAAAAAUCCAAAUGAACUUUUUGGUCAACCCAUUUUUUUUUCUCAGCAGAGAGAGAAUGUGGGCUCCUAGUUAGUAGAACAAAAUACUUUGCCCUUGUUUAUUCUGAUCUCUUGCUUUUACUUUUUUUUCCCCCUGAUAGUUCAGGAUUUGCAAACUGGAGACCAGAAUGUUGCUCCUGGUCUUCAGAAGGAUUUUGUUUGGCCAGCGAGUUUUUAAACUUGAAUCUGAAGACCUGCAGGUGGCGUGUGUCUCUGGUUAGGUCGUGACUCACAUAACGUUACCUUCCUGGCCUUUAUCACAUCACUUUGCCCUGUAAACUUUGAUCUUUGUCCUAUAAACUUUGUGCCAGGGUGGAAACAUCUGCCUCACUAAAUCUAUUCUUUUUUGACUGAUCCUCAUGAACCCUUUCAGGACACGUUUUAAGAUCCUAGAGAACAUCUCCUUAUUUGGAAGGACUGCUGUUUAUCAGAGAGCACCAGCUAAGAAGGCCAGGAAGCUCUCUUCUCCGACAUUUAGGGCUUUCGUGGAGUGACCCAACUCCAGGGCGUGGCUCACACAGAGGGCAAUGCGCCUGGAGCCCCUGGGGUGGGCAGGGGGCCCUGGCGGUCUGUAAGGAGCUUUCAGCUCUAGCCUGUUGGGUCAUUAUUACUCUGUCCUGGUUAUGCCAAAAGCUUCUGCCCCUUAGGGGAUGGGCACCCACACUGGAAACUAUAAUCUGAACAGAUGAGCAUGAAGCUGCUCACCAGGGACUCAUUUUGGAUUUGGGCUAUGGGCCCUGCAGGUAGAACAGAGGCCUCGUGCUGAGGAGGAGAAACCAGGGUGGCCGCGGCCCAGGAAGGGGUUCAGAGCGCCAGGAGAGCCUCAGGCCUAAGCCCAGAUCCGCUGCCCACCUUGCCCAGACACGGGCCUGCGCUGAGCUCUGUCUUUUCCUCGUUUUGUCUCUCACAUCUUUUCAUGAGCAAAAAGGGAGGUGCACCUUAACUUCUCCCAGGCCUCUUGUCCUCAAUUUUCCUCAGGAAGGAAAGGUUCGGGGGAUGCCUAGCCAGGGACGGCAGUUCAUUUCAAAAACUCAUGCUAACCUGUGUUCCCUUUCCCGACCUCCAGCCUAUUUUAAUCUUGUAAACGGUAAUGAUGUGUGUGGGGAACAAUUUUGUUGUUUACUGAAGCAGUUGAGUGAUAAUUGCAGAGAAAGGAGAAAGCGGAAGGCUUUCCCCACACCCUGUGUUCCUCUCUGCCAUUCUCUAUGCUAAUAUAGGCCCCCGGUGCUGUGUCUUGUGAAUCAAGAUGACAGACUGGGAAAGGGAGGUUAGGGGGGUCGUUGGAGGGGGAGGGAAGGAAGGAGGUGAGCCCAAGGCCUGGACCCCUCCCAGCGAGGAGAGUAAGUGGCUCUCUCAGGGUGGUUAUGCUGUAAAGAGGGUGUCUGGGCAAAUAGCUCCUGGUCCACAAGGUCUUCUGAAAUAAAGCAAUGGCGGAAAGCUCUUUCUGGUGUCAGAUCAAAAUGUGGUCUGCUUCAACAUGAAAAGGAGGCAGACAGACCAAAUUGGACAAAUAUACGAUUAUUUUAUUUAGCCUUCUUAGGUUAAUCUGUUUCUGUGUGACUACUGUUCAUUCAAAAUUUAUCAUGCUUGAAAUUAUCGGCACCACAUUUCUCUUUAACAGUGUAUAUCCAUUCCUCAGAUAAGCUUCUUGUCACUACCAGAUAUAGAAUGUACCGAGUGGCCAAUGUAUGUAGAAUCCUGUGUGUACCCUGGGCUGGGAAGCCAGAGUGCAGUUUAGUUGAAGAGAUGGCUCAUGUCCCAUAACCGCAGACUGCUUUACACGCAAUAGAACAAAUGUGAAAGUGUUAUAGUUGUCGUGGCUUGAGUGACGUGACCGCAAAACAGGCUGGGAA